AUGGAUCCAGCCGAGGUUCCUCACGGGGUCGAUCCCGCACCCAACUUGCCGUGUAUGGAUGGAAAGAGGCUGCGGCAAUCUGUGACGCCGGCUGACCCCGUGUACAAGGUGCUCGGCGACGACAACCUACUCAUCGAGAUCCUCCUCCUAAUCGGCUACCCAACUACCCUCGUCCGCGCUGCUCUCGUCUGCAAGCGCUGGCUCUGUCACGCCUCGGACCCCGCCUUCCUCUGCCGCUUCCACAAGCUCCACCCGCCCCGUCUCCUUGGCUUCUAUGUCGACACCGGGAGGUUUUGUAGCAGCUCACGCUUCGUGCCGAUGCUACCGCGCCCCCCAGAGUUCAACGCCAUCAUCCGCUCUGCAAGCUCCAUCCUGGAUGCCUGCAGUAACACACAUAAAUUCGUCUUGGACUCCUGCAAUGCAACGUCUUCAUGA
rnacentral:rRNA from 1 species